rnacentral:rRNA from 1 species
UACGGAGGGGGGCUAGCGUUGUUCGGAAUUACUGGGCGUAAAGCGCACGUAGGCGGCUUUGUAAGUUAGAGGUGAAAGCCCAGGGCUUAACCCUGGAAUUGCCUUUAAGACUGCAUCGCUUGAAUCGUGGAGAGGUGAGUGGAAUUCCGAGUGUAGAGGUGAAAUUCGUAGAUAUUCGGAAGAACACCAGUGGCGAAGGCGACUCACUGGACACGUAUUGACGCUGAGGUGCGAAAGCGUGGGGAGCAAACAGG